AUCCAGCUGACAAGUCUCGAAUAAGACGAAACUUGCGUCUUGGAU
rnacentral:hammerhead_ribozyme from 1 species